GCCUUUAAAGAUUGGCUCCCGAAAGGGAGCCACGGCACACGAAACAGCGUUGGUUUCCUUUUUUCAGGUCUGUUCCGUGUGCUGAAUAGUUGACGCAUUCAUUAAUUUUGGUAUCGCAUGAAUCCCAUCGUAAUAAAUAGGCUGCAGCGUAAGCUGGGCUACACUUUUCAAC
rfam:Beauveria bassiana D1-5 contig00028, whole genome shotgun sequence.